UGCUUGCACCCUAGUGGCGAACGGGUGAGUAACACGUAGGUAACCUGCCUUUUAGCUUGGGAUACCCAGAGGAAACUUUGGCUAAUACCGGAUAACACAACCGAGGCAUCUCGGAUGUUUGAAAGGAGCUCUUGGCUUCACUAAAAGAUGGACUGCGGCGCAUUAGCUAGUUGGUGAGAUAAUAGCCCACCAAGGCGAGGAUGCGUAGCCGAACUGAGAGGUUGAUCGGCCACAUUGGAACUGAGACACGGUCCAAACUCCUACGGGAGGCAGCAGUAAGGAGUUUUCGGCAAUGGGGGAAACCCUGACCGAGCAACGCCGCGUGAGUGAUGACGGCCCUAUGGGUUGUAAAGCUCUGUUGUAAAGGACGAAUGACGGGGUUAGGAAAUGAGCUCCGUUUGACGGUACUUUACCAGAAAGCCACGGCUAACUACGUGCCAGCAGCCGCGGUAAUACGUAGGUGGCAAGCGUUAUCCGGAAUUAUUGGGCGUAAAGAGUGAGCAGGCGGCAGUUUAAGUCUGAGGUGAAAGCGUGGGGCUCAACCCCAUAUAGCCUUGGAAACUGAACAGCUAGAGUACGAGAGAGGUAAACGGAACUCCAUGUGUAGCGGUGAAAUGCGUAGAUAUAUGGAAGAACACCAGUGGCGAAGGCGGUUUACUAGCUCGAUACUGACGCUCAGUCACGAAAGCGUGGGUAGCAAAUAGGAUUAGAUACCCUAGUAGUCCACGCUGUAAACGAUGAGAACUAAAUAUUGCCGUGAGGCAGUGUUGAAGCUAACGCAUUAAGUUCUCCGCCUGGGGAGUACGCUCGCAAGAGUGAAACUUAAAGGAAUUGACGGGGACCCGCACAAGCAGUGGAGCAUGUGGUUUAAUUCGACGCUACGCGAAGAACCUUACCAGGGCUUGACAUGGAGGUAAAGGCUCUAGAGAUAGAGAGAAG
rnacentral:rRNA from 1 species